UACGAAGGGGACUAGCGUUGUUCGGAAUCACUGGGCGUAAAGCGCACGUAGGCGGCUUGCUAAGUCAGGGGUGAAAUCCUGGAGCUCAACUCCAGAACUGCCUUUGAUACUGGCGAUCUCGAGUUCGGGAGAGGUGAGUGGAACUGCGAGUGUAGAGGUGAAAUUCGUAGAUAUUCGCAAGAACACCAGUGGCGAAGGCGGCUCGCUGGCCCGAUACUGACGCUGAGGAGCGAAAGCGUGGGGAGCGAACAGG
rnacentral:rRNA from 1 species